UACGGAGGGGGCUAGCGUUGUUCGGAAUUACUGGGCGUAAAGCGCACGUAGGCGGACUGUUAAGUCGGGGGUGAAAUCCUGGGGCUCAACCUCAGAAUUGCCUCCGAUACUGGCAGUCUCGAGUGCGGGAGAGGUGAGUGGGAAUUCCCAGUGAUAGAGGUGAAAUUCGUAGAUAUUGGGAAGAACACCAGUGGCGAAGGCGGCUCACUGGCCCGUAACUGACGCUGAGGUGCGAAAGCGUGGGGAGCAAACAGG
rnacentral:rRNA from 1 species